rnacentral:misc_RNA from 1 species
UUUCCGUAGGUGAACCUGCAGAAGGAUCAUUAUUGUAUAACCGAGGUGCGAGGGCUGUCGCUGACGCGAAAGGUCGUGCACGCCCGACUGCCUUCACACACAUCCAUCUCACCCCUAUGUGCACCACCGCGUGGGUCCCCCUCUGUCUUGAUCGGUGGGGGGCUUACGUUUUCACACAAACUUUGUAUGCAGUGUAGAAUGUAUAUUUUGUUAUUACGAUCACCCACUCAAUACAACUUUCAACAACGGAUCUCUUGGCUCUC